ACUUAAUUUACUAUCUCUGCAGAAGAAUCCGAAAACGAUGUUGCUAAAGUUGAAAACGACGAAGAUGAAAAUUCUCUGAGUGACGAAGCCGAUAAUGCAAUGGCCGAGCCUGAGAAAGUUGAGGCUGAAAGACCACGGAGAGAUCCCGGUUUUUUGCGUCGUCGUCGAAGGUAUUAUGGUCGUCGACGUYGUUAUCGUCGUCCUCGCCGUCGCUGCUACAGACGAUGUUGCCGAAGGCGUUGUCAUCAUGUAUGUCGCCGAAGAUACAGAUAUAGACGUCGUUGCCGGUUUAAAUGCUCUUUCAGAUGCAGCCAAUGCCGCGUAAAGUGCCGUUACGGAUAAAGGGCAAGACUGAUUUAAUGGAAAGAUGGCACGGAAAACUAAAAGUCAACGAGACAUGAUCACAUAAAUUAGAGCAUAAAAAAACCGAUUCAGCUAAAACAACACUAAAACAAGACUAAAGACCAUUCCAUYGUUGCAUUUKGCUAGCUUAUUUGUCUUAGCAAACGUUACGAAAAAGGAACGAUGUGGACAGGGAUUAAAAACUGUUUUAGGGUAAGGGGUUUCCAAUAUUUGACAAUAACUUGUUUGUAAAUUAAUUAAAUUGUUUAAGGCAACUAUUGUAAUCAACAAGCAAUAGUAGUAAAUUUCAGAAAUAAAGCAUUCGAAA